UAUGUGUAUGUAUGUAUAUAUGUGUAUAUAUGUAUCUGGUGCUUUCAAAGAGUGACAAAUCUGUACAAGAAACCAUUAUCUGGAACAUAGUUAAGAAUGUUAGGGAAACAAUAUUCAGGGCGUUUAUUUAGAAAAUUGUACUUGGGCUGAGAGCAUAUGCUAUUCAUGUGUGUCUUCUAAAAAUAUUUUCACAUGCAAAUUACACACCCGCUGGCUGCUCAGUUCUAACCAUGUUGUUGCUGCAUGAUGGUCUCUGAGAAACUGAGAAUGGAGUGGGAGGUACCAGCUGAAAAUGUUUGCUCUGAAGGUUUUGUUUUUGGGAUUUUUACUUCUGCUUGACUUUCCACCUCUUUCCAAAACCUAACAUAAGACCAUUUCCAAAAUGGCACUUUUCAAGUUUGAAUUUUAAUGUAAGAAUAAUAAAGUAACUAAUUAUGUAUGUACCUCUUUUUCUCUGUUUAAUUGCUUAACUAUAUUAUGUUCUGUUGAUCAAGUACAGACCACAAGAAAGCCAUUGUCUCAAUUUUUUUUGUAUAUGAAGUCCAGGUGACUCUGAUUGUAAACUUUCUUGCAUUCCUCAACUAUUUUUAAGCCCACAAAUUAGUAACAUUACUGAUUGUGAUAUAUACACAUAGUAUACUUUUGUUAUUGCAUUGCAGUAUUUUAACCAAAGGGAGAGAGAUCUUUACUAAGGAGAGAGAGAUUCUAAAAUAAGAGGCCAGGGUUUUUUUUGUCAACUGCUGCCAGUUUAAACCCUUUAUUUUUUCUGGAGUAAAAACCUCUUACAUUUUUAUGACUCAUUUUCAAAAGUACAGAAAAAAAAAAGCACUGCAUUUUUUUCGCUACUAUAGUGCCUGUAGCCUUGACAGAACAGGAGAAAUUUAUAUAUUGCUCUGAGGUAAAGGUAGAUUUCUUUUUUUCUUCUUGGGUCUUAUAAGAGUGCCUCUUAUUUUGUCAUCUUUAACAGGAGAGUGUUUUUUGCUGUGUAGAAAGAGAGAAGCUGAACACUUGACACCUGAUGCAGUGCUCUCAGAAAUCACUGCAAAGAUUUCAAUUUGGGAAUUGCAGCUAGCCUUCAAAAUAAUUUCUUAAUUUUCAUACUAUUCUUAAAGUUAUUUUACCUCCAUUUCCUACAGCCCAUAGGCUUCUGACCCCAUUCUAGUAGGGAGCAAUAGCCAAAAGUUAAUUUAGUAUUUCUUGUGUUUUCAGAAAUGAAUUAUUUUUGGGAAUAUUUCUGAUGGGAACAUACCAGUGAUGAAAUGUUUUUUUCUGAAACCCAUGGAAAGCUGAGUGCUAUCUGAUAUGAUCAUAGUGAUUAUGUUGUGCAUUUGCGUCCUUAGGAAUCUUCCAGUAAUUAGGUUAUGUUUCUGUGGUGUUGUAUUGCUACUCUUGUGAAAAUCAGCAAAAAAUAUAAAAUACAACUUAAUGUUGAUGUAGGAAUUUGGGUAAGACUCAGCAUGAGGAAAUAUGACAACAGUCAAACAAAAUUAAUGUCUUUGUAGUGGCAAAGAUAUUGGCUAACUUGGUGUUAAGGACGUGAAAAACUUAUGUGAAAGUUUGGAGUUGCAUUGGUUAAAAGACUUUCAAAGUAAGAAGGGGUACAGCAAGCCAGGUGUUUUGAAAUUAAAUGAACAAAUAUUUAACACUUGCCCAGAUGUGAUAUGCUGGUUUCUGGUUUCAUACAUUAAUUGCUCUUUUAAGACAGGUUAUAUUUGACUCUCCUUUUUGUUUGGCCUUUAUACAGUUUUUCUCUUCCUCUGUAUGGAAGUCUGGAAUUUUUAAGGUGUUUUUAGGUUUAACUGAUUGAUUUAUAGCAGAAUUCCAAGAUAUAUUAUCAGUAAGAUUUCAUUCAUUUUGAAAAUAGUGGUUUUCAGCAGUAGUUGCUAAAGACAGUGUUGUACAGGAAUUUAGGAAAACUGGGAUGGUGUUAAAGGUGCUAUUACUCUUUUGUGUGUGUUUAUAAAAGGGAAAUUAAUACUAAAUUAUAUCUAUGCAAGUAAACAAUAAUUGAUAUAAUGACACUUCCAGAAAGAAUUGAAAUUGUUUCAUUGUUUUCAAAGUAACUUUAACGUCUUCUUUGAUAAAAGAAGUGGUAAGCAAAUGUAUAGUUAAAGUUGAACCUUGUGAAUCUUGGAAAAAAAUUUCUAAGAAUCUUAGCUGCAGAACCCAAUUCCUAUGUUAGCAGAGCAAAGAAUAUUAAGUAACACACUCACUGUCCAAGAAAUUGGCCAGUUCUUUUUACACUCCAUCAUGUGAUUGAAGAUAUUUUUCAUGUAUUCCGGUACUUUCAGAAGGAAGAAGUCUUUUUAAGUAGACUAAUUCUAAGUUUGUAAGAUGUCAGUUGGUACUGACAAAGGAAGAAAGAACAAUGAUCCAUUUUGUGAAAUUUAAAAGUGAUAUAUUAUCCAUUCUUACUUACUAUUUAAACUUGUACUGACAUAGCAUUACCUGUCCAUUAGAGACUUUCCUCUCUGGUACUUGAAGCACUUGAGCUACAUUUUAUCACCAUUAUCUUGUGGUUCUCUUCUUACUUCAUCUUGGAGGUUUUUGCUGUCUGCAAUCCCAUUUGACUAAACGUCCUGUGUAAGGAUGCUGGUAUUGUUACAGCCACUUUACACUGUGUGUGAACCGAGGCUCCAGCUUCUGGCAUCUCUUUCAAGUGAGUGCUGUGUAAAUGCAAAGAAAGACUGAUGCUUAUUCUGAGGAGUUUAAAAUGCCUGUCCCGUCUCCUCUUUCUGGAAUUGUCAGCAUAUUACAUACUUCCCUGAUUUUUCAGAGUUGCUUGACCCUAAAGAGUUUGUUAAAGUUGAUAGGACUAAUUCUGUGUGAGUUUAAAGCCCUUGCAAAAUCUUUCCUGUUUCUGAAUUAUCAUGUUGUGGUUUUGUUUGGGUUUUUUUUAAUGUCAGAAAAAUUUAUUUGUAUACGAAGUCAUUCCUUAGGUAGGGCAAAUGAAAGAAAAUAAUUUGUCUUUAUUAAAGUGUAGGACCCCAAUGUUUUUAUGUGACAGUUUUUAUUUGCUUCUGGUGCUGAAUCACCACAUUAUUUUGUUACGCUAGUUGCUGUAAGAAUGCAUGUAGUUCUUCACCCUCAAAUAGGAGACAUUUUUGGCCUAGAGACCACUACCCUUUUCUAAAUAAAUUAUUUUUUUUAACUCUCCGAACUGUUUUUAGAGCAUUUUUUCUGUAAUUCCUGGACCCUGGAUUGACAGGGGGUGUAGGGAGUGGAUGAAUGGGAUCAAGGAGGUAACAAAAAAUGAUUACCUUUUUCCUCUCUAGCCUAAAAUAUCAAUAGUUCAACUUCUAGCUGAAUUGAAAUAUUGCUGAGUUCUGGCUUGCUGAUAUAAAUUUAGCACCUCUCUCCUUCUGAAGUAUUGCAAACCAUUGGCCUGUUAAGUGCAUCUAAUUUUAUGUCUUCUUCCCUGUCAAUCUCUCAACCUUUCUUUGCAUUUUAAAAUUAGAGAUACGUUCCAAAGCUAUGGUCGUGUUCAGGACUUGUUCUGUAUGAAGCAGGAUUUCUACCUUUGCCUUUAGAACGGAAGGGAAUGGCUGUAAUUGUCCUUUUCAGCCUGACAGUGUUUUUUCCGUAGAUCAGAAAUGUUAUUAACUUGCCACACGGGUAAUUUUUAUAUAAUCUGCGGUGUGCUAAUGCAGAAGUUUUGAGGUGUCAUUCUCUGUACACAAUAUGGUAUAAUUGACACAACUCUUUUUUUUCUAUUGGUUGCUUUUUUUCCUAGUUAAACUUUUCAGUAAAUUCAUUCUACACCUUGACCAAAACUCAAAACCACUCAUCUGCUUUUUACAUGGCAGCAGCACCUAGUAAGGUGUGGCCAUACCUGUGUUGGCAAAAUACCAUGGAGCAUCUCCUUGCGAUUUUUUUUUCUCUCUUCUCUCAGACAGGGUGCCAGGGCAGGGACUUGUUGCUUGGUAGUCAGGUAAUGACCUUCCUUUCUCAACUAGAGUGCCAAACACCACACUUCUAAGAAGGGUUACAAACAUGGAAAUGCAGCUAGUUUUAUUACAAACAACUAUUCUAAAGUAAUCUUUUUCUUUCUAAAACACAAAAGCAAUAGAGUUUAUUGUUAAAAGGGAACUUAAAUAUUUAGUAGACUACUUACCUUUCUUAAUCAGAAAAAAUAUUGAAGUUUCUUCACACAAGUGUAUCUAAGCUACACAAGCUAUCUAAGGUAGAAAAUUGCUGGUGAAGAUGCUCUGUCAGUUUGAGAAUCUGACUGACCUCUUGGUUUCAGCUGUGGAAUUGCUGGCUGGAUUAUUGUCUCUUCCUGCUUCCUACCUGCAUGUUUGAACCAUGUCCCUUUCUUUCAUGACUUUGUGGUUGAUGUGUUUGCACCAUGAUGUGACCUAACUUCUGACACUUAAACACUGGCGAGAAACUAAUCUCUUUUUGUGGAUAUGUAGGAGAAAAUUUUUGGAGUAGCCUAUAGUUUAAGUGAAUGAGGUCAAAUAGGGACAGGCCCUCUAUGGCACCUAGCAAAUAGCAGUGGCUGCUAAUGAAUGCUUGGGGAGGGCAUGUGAAUAAUGUCUGGAACUAUAGAAUUUAAAUGCUUUUCUGUGUAUUUAAAAAUACCCCAGAACCAAGUGUUUUAAAAUGACCUUUGAAUGGUCCUAAGACCAAAGUUAUCAAAGCUGCUAAAGUAAAUUUCUUUUUUUUACUUUUACUGCUAUUUAUUUAUUGUUGCUAUUGUUACCACUUAAGUAGUGCCUAUAUUGUUUACAGUAGUGUCCACAGUAUCAAUAUUUGAAGUUAUUUAAUUCAAAUAUUAAAUGUUCAGGUAUUAAAUGUUCAAAUGAAAUAAUGAUUUAGAGGAUGAAGUUUAUUUUGUUUGGCAGAGUUAAUGUAUUGUCACACAGCAUAGAUAAACUGUCACACUAUUUCAUGCUUCAGAACAGAGGAUAUUACUGAACUGAUAUAAGGCAAAUUUAUUUUGUAAUCCAGCUUGGGUAACCAUGUUUUUAUAAAACAUUUUAAAUUUUUUUUUAUUACUUGUAGAUUGUUUCAGUGAGUGUGUUUUGGGGUGUUUUUUUGGUUUUUUUUUUUUUUGGUUUUUUUUUUUGGUUUUUUUUUUGUAAUUAGCAAUGCUGUAACAUAUUUCUUGCAUGAAAGAAACACAAAUCCAAAAUGGAGGUCCUUAUCAGAGCAAAACUGGAGGAACAAAACAAAAUGGCAGUACUAAAGCAGAGGUUCCCAAACUUCCUCUGCUGAAGUUUUUGGUCACUGACCUUGAUAUCUAAAGGACUGUUGGGGCCAGUGAUGUUAAUUUCUCUUUAUAGGUAUUUUUUUAGGUUUCUAGGUAUCUCUCAGAGCAGGACCUCUAUCCUACAUUCAUCAGCCUGUGAACUACCUGAAACCAGGACCCAACCCUGUGCUUGGAGUUCAAUUAUUUCAGAUGAUCUGUAAAUUUUCAAUAAUGGCAAUACAUUCAUUCUGCCAUUUGGAGGAGCCUGUGCCACAGAAUAAUGAUCUGAAGAAAGCUCACUCAUUUGCUAGGACGAGUCUUAAUUUGGGAAUUAGCACUGAUGCAGCUCAAGGAUGCUUUUUCAUGUCCAGACUCCUUCAGCAGAACUGUUAUUUUCCUAACACAAUCUCUGGUACAAGGAUAAAAUUGGGUUUUUGUCAAAGAACAGAGUCCUGUAUCUGAAGAGUAAGAAGGUCCUUGACAUUCAGUGGGAUGACAAUCUCAGAACUGACUACUGGGGACUCCCAAGCUACAGAUCAGGAGGAGAGUCUGUUGCCUUAUCUGCAAUACACCUAUGGGAGUUUCAGGGUCUUCCAGGAGAGGAUAUCUCAUUCCUGACAUGCUCACCAAGAAGAGGUGAUGGAGCCUGUGUGGUGCUUUGAAGAUUAACUUCAUUAUCAUGCUGUGGAAUGGGCAGCUGGAAUUGGCAGAUGCUUUUUCAAACAACCAAGCAAAGUGCAGGUGUGGGUUGCUUGUCAGAAAUCCAUUCUGAAGCUUGAGUGCAAAGGAAGCAGAGUACUAAUGAUGAAUACGAAUGGAUAUCUUAAGGAUAACAAUGGAUCUUCAAAAGCAGUGGCAUUCUGGUCCUAGUCCUGCAACUGGAUUUAUUCAAAUGGACCUCGAUAGCCUGGGGGCCUGAUGAAGCUCAUGGGACUCUGGUGACUGCAGGUUCUCACUCUGAAGAUCUGAUUGUAGGCCUGAACCUAAAUUUCUAUUUCGUUCUCCUGUCUAUUUGCUUCUUAAGUGAUGAAAAUUAUCCUUUAAAAUGGUGUUGUCUUUGAAUCUCAUGUACAUCCACUUUAGUAGUGUUCCAACACUGUGUGCCUGGGAUGUUGUCAGACGUUAAAUUAUUUCUGUUCUGUUGAGUGUCUAAACCUCAUGAUUUCUCUGAUUAUUGUGUUAGAUUUUUCUGUUUAGUGUCUUUCUACCUAAAAUGGAGGAGAUCAUCACCUGUGUUUUCAAUCGUUGUGGUAUUUCUCUUAACUCAGAUUUUUAAGUCAGAGUAAUUGUUGAAAGUGUUCUGGUUAUUUUUAAAGAUAUAGGCAGAUUUGUUUAUUUCUUGCUGGACACAAAGUAUAAUAUUUUAUUUUGCAAACUUGGUAGCCUAGUAUUACUGAAAGCUUUCAAUAUGAUGAUACUCUGAUGUAAUAAAAUAAGUAGGAAAAGACCCUUUUACUAGCUCUCCUGUUGCUUUUCUAUUCCUGUGGCUGUGGUUACACAACAUCAGAGUGUUGUGUAAAAAAAAAGUGAAGAUAUUUUUAUUUUUUGUGAGUCAGUAUAUACCUUUUGUUGACAAUAAGCGCCGCUCCCUCUCCUAUUCCAUGUUGCAAUUUCACUGAAUAAUAAAGUUAUAGCCCUGGUAGA
rnacentral:lncRNA from 1 species